rnacentral:rRNA from 1 species
AUUGAACGCUGGCGGCAGGCCUAACACAUGCAAGUCGAACGGUAACAGGAAGCAGCUUGCUGCUUUGCUGACGAGUGGCGGACGGGUGAGUAAUGUCUGGGAAACUGCCUGAUGGAGGGGGAUAACUACUGGAAACGGUAGCUAAUACCGCAUAACGUCGCAAGACCAAAGAGGGGGACCUUCGGGCCUCUUGCCAUCGGAUUUGCCCAGAUGGGAUUAGCUAGUAGGUGGGGUAACGGCUCACCUAGUCGACGAUCCCUAGCUGGUCUGAGAGGAUGACCAGCCACACUGGAACUGAGACACGGUCCAGACUCCUACGGGAGGCAGCAGUGGGGAAUAUUGCACAAUGGGCGCAAGCCUGAUGCAGCAAUGCCGCGUGUAUGAAGAAGGCCUUCGGGUUGUAAAGUACUUUCAGCGGGGAGGAAGGGAGUAAAGUUAAUACCUUUGCUCAUUGACGUUACCCGCAGAAGAAGCACCGGCUAACUCCGUG